rnacentral:lncRNA from 1 species
AACUUUUUCAGCAAAUCCAGCGUAUUUUUUUAACCUCUCAUUUUUUGCCCCCCUGCAAUUGUGACAUGUCUACAUGAAAUUGGCCACAGGAAGGAAGCCCUGUUGGAGAAGCUAUUUUCUGAACAUCCCUUUAUACCCUCGAUUUCACAACAUGCAGACAUUUAGGUUGAGAGACUGGGACUUCAGGCCCUAAUGGCAGCUAUAAUUUGGAAGUCAAAUGCAGCAGGGAGCGCUUAGAGCUGAUGCAUGAUUCCCGCACACAGACAGCCAAGGUGAGACUGGGGCCUGGCUGCUGCGGAAGUGAGGAACAGACGUUGGAGCAGGAGAGAUGGAUAAGGAGAGUCCAGUCUGUGUGUUCAAGGAAGCAAAGGGAUGAAGACUCACCUGGUGUGGAGAAAAGCAAAGAAAUCCUGAAAAUGUUCAUUGGUUUGGCAGUGGAGGGACGGCCACACACGCUCCUGUUAGACUGGGUAACGGGGCAGCUCUGUCUUGAGGGAGGAGGAAUUGGGGACAGUGACAGGCCCUGUCUUGGGGUCCACUGUGCUAUUUCCAAGGGUAGCAGUGGCUUCCUGGAAGCUGCGGUCUGAGCUGUGCUCCUGGCUGUGAUGUUCCCUUCCCACCCGCGGAUGCCACCCAUGGAGAACCCUGCUCUUGCCAUGUCUGCCCUGGAUACACUUUUCGGUCAUGUGCCACCUGGAAGCAAAGGAUGCAGGUCAGCAUUCACGGGAGCAGACACAGAUGGCCCAGGCUGCAGGUCCUGGCUGCUCAUUGGAGAAUGCAGCUUGGAAAGUACACGCUGAUGUGGCCGCUGAGAACCAACACGCCUUUGACCACGUGGUCAGAUCCCUCUCGGAAGAAGAGAAACUGAGACGCUCAUGAGGAGAGAGCUGCCACGAGCUGGCUGGGGCAUGGGGGUGGGGAGGAGGUGUCAGGAAAACUGUAAAGUUUCUGCGGCAUGUUUUGCUUUUGCUCACCUAGAUUUAGAGGAAUCCUCUGGGAAAACGAAACUGAAAUCUUACUUCCCCACUGGCAGCCUCCUGGUGGCCACAGGAUAUGGACUUGACCUUGGUUAUAGGCAUGUCAGUGGCUUCCACUGCAUGGUGAUUUUUGGGGGGUCA